GCCUAAUGCUCUUUCUCUGCAACCAUGCUUUUAUUUUUGGACAAUUCAUCUUGAGACUCCAACGCUGCUGAAUCAUUAGUUUUAAAGUCAGAUUUGAAUGUUAAUGUAACAUUCAGUGAGACCUGAAAAGGGAUGAAUCAGAGACACCAUGGGUUCUCUCGGCCCCAGUUUCCCGUGGAAACCACAUGUGAGAAGCCUGGGCAAGUUUCGGGAGGAAUUUCCAGGCAGCAGAAAGAAGGAAGCUGCUCUAUAUCUUCCUCACAAGAGAGUCUGUAAUCCCCAUGCAGAUUCUGCAGGCAGUUCCUUCUUGUUCCACAUUCAGCACCAGCCACUCUGCUUCCUUGCUGUCCCCUUUCUGGUGUCCAUGGAGCCUCCUCAGCCUUCAGCUAACACCACUUCAUCGUCCCUCCAGGAAACCUGACCUAAGAUGCUGUGCUUGCAGGUUGCCAAUGGGCUUCCCCAGUCACACAGCCCCUUGAUUUGUUUUAUUGCCCUAAAUUUUAUUUAUUUGUGGUUCUGGGGAUUAAACCCAGGGCCUGGUGCAUGCUAGG
rnacentral:lncRNA from 1 species